AACAGGAUUAGAUACCCUGGUAGUCCACGCCCUAAACGAUGGAUACUAGACGAAGGCGGAUUAAUUCCGUCUGUGUCGAAGCAAACGCGAUAAGUAUCCCGCCUGGGGAGUACGGCCGCAAGGUUGAAACUCAAAGGAAUUGACGGGGGCCCGCACAAGCAGCGGAGCAUGUGGUUUAAUUCGAAGCAACGCGAAGAACCUUACCAAGACUUGACAUCGUAUGACCGCCAUAGAAAUAUGGAAUCUCUUCGGAGCAUAUAGACAGGUGGUGCAUGGUUGUCGUCAGCUCGUGUCGUGAGAUGUUCGGUUAAGUCCGGCAACGAGCGCAACCCCUAUUAUUAGUUGCCAAUAUUAAGUUAGGAACUCUAAUAAGACUGCCGUGGAUAACACGGAGGAAGGUGGGGAUGACGUCAAAUCAUCAUGCCCCUUACGUCUUGGGCCACACACGUGCUACAAUGGGCGCUACAGAGAGCAGCGAAAUCGCAAGGUGGAGCAAAUCUCAAAAAAGCGUUCUCAGUUCGGAUUGUGGGCUGCAACCCGCCCACAUGAAGUCGGAGUUGCUAGUAAUCCCGAAUCAGAAUGUCGGGGUGAAUGCGUUCCCGGGUCUUGUACACACCGCCCGUCACGCCAUGGGAGUUGGGGGUACCCAAAGUCAGUGAGCUAACCCGCAAGGGAGGCAGCUGCCUAAGGUAAAACCGAUGACUGGGGUGAAGUCGUAACAAGGUAGCCGUAUCGGAAGGUGCGGCUG
rnacentral:rRNA from 1 species